GAUGAACGCUGGCGGCGCGCCUAACACAUGCAAGUCGAACGGUUAAAGCACCUUUUAGGUGUGUAUAAAGUGGCGAAGAGAUGAGUAACACGUGGGCAACCUGCCCUCCGCUUGGGGAUAGGAUCGGGAAACCGAGGAUAAUAACCGAUACUUCAAUGUGGUCGCAUGACGACAUUGAGAAAGCUUUUGCGGAGAAGGAUGGGCCCGCGGACGGUUAGCUUGUUGGUGGGGUAGAGGCCUACCAAGGCAAUGAUGGGUAGCUGGGUUGAGAGACCGACCAGCCAGAUUAGGACUGAGACACGGCCCAGACUCCUACUGGAGGCAGCAGUGGGGAAUCUUGCACAAUGGGCGAAAGCCUGAUGCAGCGACGCCGCGUGCGGGACGAAGGCCUUCGGGUUGUAAACCGCGUUCAGCAGGGACGAGGCGAUAAGUGACAGUACCUGCAGAAUAAGCCCCGGCUAACUACGUG
rnacentral:rRNA from 1 species